AAGACCUGAUGACCCGUGCGAGGCUGUUUAUGAUAAUGUACUGAGGUCUGUGUUUCAUUCCUGCCUGUGAAACUUGAAGGAUUCGAGACAAAGGUUUGCUCGUGACGGCUUGGGGAGGACAGCGACAGUGCACCUGCAGACCUCGGUAGGUGUGGUCUUCCUCCGUUACCUUCAGCAUAGGUGAGCUGCAGCGAGGUGAAGGUCUGAACAAUCUACGAAGCAGUUGCUGAACAAUCCAUGGAACGGUUGAUUCUACCGAAACGUGCUGAACAAUCCAUGGAACGGUUGAUUCUACCGAAACGUGCUGAACAAUCAAUCCAUGGAACGGUUGAUUCUACCGAAACGUGAUUGUACUAUUCAAAUAAAUGAUGUAAAUGAUCUUGUUAAUCAUAGAUACAAAUAAAUGAUAUUGUUAACUAUUUUCAAAUAAAUGAUGUAAAUGAUUCUGUUAAUAAAUAGUUAACUAUUUUCAAAUACAAGUAAAUGAUUGUUAACUAUUUUCAAAAUAAAAUGAUCCUGUUAACUAUUUUCAAAUAAAAGUAAAUGAUCCUG